UUUUCUUCUUCUAUCUUCGUAGCUGUUGAACGUUUUCUGACUUUUCCACUUCUUCUUCCAUUCCCAUUAACUUAAACCAUUAUUUCACUCAUCAAAACAAAAACAGCUUAACUCACAUCACCCUUCCACUUCCCUAUCCCACUCUAUAUAAGACGAUGUCGUCAUAUGAAGCCUUCACACUGCUCAAACCACCACCAAAAACCCACCUUAAGCUACAUUGGCGAACACAUAUUCUUUCAGUUCCACAGUUACAUGUGAAGAAUCUUAUAUUGCAAGAGAAGCGGCUGGUUCAUUUUCCCCAGAGCUCAGGUAUGGUGAUGAUCGUGAGGAAACAGUCGAUUCCGAGGAAGACAAUAACUACUGGUACUCUUUAACAGUUCAUACAAACGAUUUUUUUCCUCAUUAAUUGUUUUUCGUUGAUGGUUCUAUUUACCUAAAGUAUGAUGUGCUAUGAUGAUUUUAUUUUCUUAAUGAACUCUUGAAAAAAUCACUCUUUAUGCCUUCUUGCGAUGAUUAACUUAAAAGGAACUUCUCCUGGUGGCUUGGUUGAGGCAUGUUUCCCUUCAUGCAGGUCUCUGAACGUAUCCUUCUGAUUCAAAUUGUUGCAAGAUGCAACACCUAAAGCAUUCCGACAAUUGGGUACUGACAUGUUCACUUUCCUUUGGCAGUUGAAGAGGCCAUGUUCUACUACAUUGCUGCUUUUUCCCCUAGUAUGUAUCACCAGACUCCAUACAGUAGGCAUAUGAACAUGCCGCUGCAAACACCAAGGUAAACGGAGGCUGAGCUAUGAUCCUUUACUACAACCAAGUUCAUUGAUACUGCUCACAUAUCUGGCAGUGUCCUAGAGUAAUCAUUGGAGAUGUAGAGAUAAGCAAGACUCUUGCUUGAACCAAGUACAUGGAGUAUGUUUUGGAAUGAGACUGAGGCAAGAAUCUGCAGGGUUCACGGCUGGGAGACAAUACAAGACGACUCUUGUGAUCACACAAGUUGCAGAUCAUGUGGUUUUUCGCCACCGAUGGAAAGGUGGAGAAGUACCCAGUCAUUCAUCUCCCAAGGAGAAGCGGUUUUAAUAGGCUAUGAUCUCAAAACUAGAACCUGUCAAAGAAGAUAACUUGGAGAUUAAAUCAGUGGGAGCAAUGGAGGAACGUGAUGUGAACCUUAAUUCUGAGGUACCCCUUCUGCUAUUAAUCUGCUCAACCCGGUUUUUCUCAAGACUAAGUAUAACCAAACACACUACGACGAUCUUGCCUCCAAAUGUCUUUCAAGGGUACAAAUUUAACAUCCUUUACCCGGAUUUCGUAGACAAGAUCAAAGCUCCCAUUUAAAAAAUAGAAAAAAUUGGGACCAGCGCUGAAACUUAUAUAAACCGGUUCCAUACUGGUACGCCUUACGAAGACAUUGCAAGUAUUCAGAACCAUUAAUUCUGCCAUUUCAUCAUAACCCCUAUGUUAUCUUGGUGAUCAAUUUUUUCUCCCAUAGAUGUGGUUUCUAUGUUAUUUUCCCCUUUGUGCAACUGAGUUUCGUUUGUAGCUUCAUUUGGGUUAUUGGGUUAGGUUUUACAUACUCAAUCUGGGGUGGCCAAACAUUAAUUUAAGGAUGUAUAUGCUGAUAUCUGUUAGAAAUGUAUAAAUAUGAUGGUC